CAAUAGCGUAUAUUAAAGUUGUUGCGGUUAAAAAGCUCGUAGUUGGAUUUCUGUCAAAGGUAAGGCGGUCCAUCUUAUGGAUGUGCAUCUGCCUAUGCCUUGGCAUCCUCAUGAAGAACGUUUUCGCGCUUCACUGCGUGUUUACGGUAUUCAUGACUUUUACUUUGAGGAAAUUAGAGUGUUCACGGCAGGCAAUCGCUUUGGAUACAUUAGCAUGGAAUAAUACUAUAGGACCUCGGUUCUAUUUUGUUGGUUUCUAGAGCUGAGGUAAUGAUUAAUAGGGAUAAUUGGGGGUCUUUGUAUUGCAACGUCAGAGGUGAAAUUCUUGGAUUGUUGCACGACAAACUACUGCGAAAGCAUUGACCAAGGAUGUUUUCAUUGAUCAAGAACGAAAGUAAGGGGAUCGAAGACGAUCAGAUACCAU
rnacentral:rRNA from 1 species